GAUGAAGAACGUAGCGAAAUGCGAUACGUAAUGUGAAUUGCAGAAUUCAGUGAAUCAUCGAAUCUUUGAACGCAUAUUGCGCUCUCUGGUAUUCCGGAGAGCAUGCUUGUUUGAGUAUCAGUAAACACCUCAACUCCCUUUUCUUUUUUGAAAUUGGAGCUGGACUUGAGUGAUCCCAACGCUUUCUUCCAAGAAAGUGGCGGGUUGCUUGAAAUGCAGGUGCAGCUGAACUUUUCUCUGAGCUAUAAGCAUAUCUAUUUAGUCUGCCUAAAAAACAGAUUAUUACCUUUGCUGCAGCUAACAUAAAGGAGAUUAGUUCUUGUGCUGACUGAUGCAGGAUUCACAAAGACCGCUUCGGCUGUCUUUGUAAACUCGAUCUCAAAUCAAGUAAGACUACCCGCUGAACUUAAGCAUAUCAAUAAGCGGAGGA
rnacentral:misc_RNA from 1 species